rnacentral:lncRNA from 1 species
UGACGUUCAUGUAUUUUUCAGUUUUUGUUGUUAUUCUAUAAAGACAUUUAGAAGAAAAUUAAAGGAUAAACUCGAUAAUAGAGCAUUUAAAUAACAUGUAAUAAAUACAAAAAUCUUCAAUGGAAGGGUGUUAUAUCACAUCAGGUAUGACAUUUCUGCUCAAUUAUUAGAGUAUUAACUGUCACACGAAACAGCUUAACAAGCAACAUCAACAUAACAUUUAAAAGUCAAACACACACAAAAAAAAAAAAAACGAUUCUAGGACUUCAUUCACACUGAUUCAAUUCGAUAAAUCAUUCUGAUGUUUUCGCAAUGUUGACGUAGAAUUUUCUGUUAUUAACUGCCUGUUUUUUUUUAUUGACACUGGUGAAGAUUCGAUGAGAACCUACAGGCCCGAUACUCAAAGAAUAUAGACCGAAUACAGCUGAUCGAUAACAUAUACCAGAGUCUUGCUGCUCACCAAGGACUUUCAAUUGGAAUAAUAAUUAUUCGGUAUAUAUAAUUCCUUAUUCUUUAUUAAUCUGAAGAAAACAUGGGUCGUAAGUUAAAAUUGUAGGUUGCACCAUAGAUGUAUAAACCCACGGCCAUAGCUACAAAUGUAUAUGUUUUUACAUCUAUGGUUGCACAGAUAACCAUUUUUGGUUUGAACAGCAGAAAUUAUGAACACUGAUAUAAAAGGAUGGUUGAAUUUGGUGCAUAGUAAAACUCUGAUUUUCAAGACUAAGAAAUUGGAACGGCAACUGGUUUUGUAAACAUCUAAGCCUGAAAUAAUGAGUAAAAUAGGGGUAAAGGG